CGCUCUCUCUCUCUCUCUCUCUCUCUCUCUCUCUCUCUCUCUCUCUCUCUUUCUCCCUCUCUCUCUCGCGCCAGCUCAGUCCGUAUCUCCUUCGGUCGGAGUCCUCAGCGCUGGCAAGGGAUAAUAAACGGCCUUUCCGCAGCAAUACGUGGUCAACGGAACAGCCCACAACAGAGUGGACUUUCACAGAAGAUGUGGGUGUUUUGAAGGCAGGGUCUUCCCUGGUUGGUUGUGAAGAUCUAAGUAAACAAAGCUUGUUACUGUGGCAUAACUGAACUUUGGAUCUGAAAAGUGGCAGCAGAGUCCUAUUGAAACAGGAAGCCUCCAGAACCAUCCAAAAUAUCCUAUAAAGAUGGAGUUCAAAUUAAACCUUGAAUGCUGAUUUAUUAGAGUGAAAAGGUAAGAACUUUUUAAAUAGCACAAACCUCUUGUAACUCAAAAAAAAACU
rnacentral:lncRNA from 1 species